GCGGGAGGCUUAACACAUGCAAGUCGAGGGGCAUCACGGGUAGCAAUACCUGGUGGCGACCGGCAGACGGGUGAGUAACGCGUAUGUAACCUACCCUGUACAGGGGGAUAACCCGGGGAAAUUCGGACUAAUAUCCCAUGGAAAUAUUGGAAGGCAUCUUUUGAUAUUUAAAGUUCCGGCGGUACGGGAUGGGCAUGCGUAACAUUAGCUAGUUGGUAAGGUAACGGCUUACCAGGGCUUUGAUGUUUAGGGGUCCUGAGAGGGUGGUCCCCCACACUGGUACUGAGACACGGACCAGACUCCUACGGGAGGCAGCAGUGAGGAAUAUUGGUCAAUGGGCGCAAGCCUGAACCAGCCAUCCCGCGUGCAGGAAGACGGCCCUAUGGGUUGUAAACUGCUUUUCCAGGGGGAGAAACUUGCGCACGUGUUGCGCAAUUGACGGUACCCUGGGAAUAAGCAUCGGCUAACUCCGUGCCAGCAGCCGCGGUAAUACGGAGGAUGCGAGCGUUAUCCGGAUUCAUUGGGUUUAAAGGGUGCGUAGGCGGACUAUUAAGUCAGUGGUGAAAUCCUGCAGCUUAACUGCAGAACUGCCAUUGAUACUGAUAGUCUUGAGUUUGGUUAAGGUAGGCGGAAUGUGUAAUGUAGCGGUGAAAUGCUUAGAUAUUACACAGAACACCAAUUGCGUAGGCAGCUUACUGAGCCGACACUGACGCUGAGGCACGAAAGCGUGGGGAUCGAACAGGAUUAGAUACCCUGGUAGUCCACGCCGUAAACGAUGAUUACUCGCUGUUGGCGAUACACUGUCAGCGGCUAAGCAAAAGCAAUAAGUAAUCCACCUGGGGAGUACGGCCGCAAGGUUGAAACUCAAAUGAAUUGACGG
rnacentral:rRNA from 1 species